rnacentral:rRNA from 1 species
CUUGGUCAUUUAGAGGAAGUAAAAGUCGUAACAAGGUUUCCGUAGGUGAACCUGCGGAAGGAUCAUUAACAAAUCUACUGUGCCGCCGCAAGGCGUGCAUAUUGGCCCCGAGUCCAGGCUUUGGUUUGGACUCUGGUUUCGGACAUGAUGGAUGGUCCAGGCUGGUUAGCGCCUGUCUGGCUGUCCGUCGUCCACAUAGACGCUUGUAUGUUUGACAGAGUUACGGUUGUAAGCACAAAAAGACAACUUUUAACAAUGGAUCUCUUGGCUCUUGCAACGAUGAAGAACGCAGUGAAAUGCGAAAAGUAAUGCGAUUUGCAUGAAUCUGUGAGUCAUCAAGUCUUUGAACGCACCUUGCACCGUAUGAGCAAUUGUACGGUAUACCUGUUUGAGAAUCGUAAAAACCCCUUCACUCUCCCCUUGUGGGCACGGAGUGAGACUUGUUGGCUGAGCCGGUGGCGGUGCAUGCUGCCGCUGGCUCUCUGACUAAAGGCAUUAGGUCUGGAUCGGGCUGGUGGCCCGGGACAUUGUGUGCUAGAGACGUUCGCCGCGAGGCAGGCUGUCUUCUCACAGUGCGUCCUGGGUCCUUGCAAGCUGGCCCGGUGAGGACCUUUUGGUGGUGCGCUUCGCGGCGUCCACAACCCCCCUUUUUGAUCUCAAAUCAGGUAAGGCUACCCGCUGAACUUAAGCAUAUCAAUAAGCGGAGGA